UAGUCCACGCCGUAAACGAUGGUCACUAGCUGUUCGAACUUCGGUUUGAGUGGCUAAGCGAAAGUGAUAAGUGACCCACCUGGGGAGUACGUUCGCAAGAAUGAAACUCAAAGGAAUUGACGGGGCCCGCACAAGCGGUGGAGCAUGUGGUUUAAUUCGAUGAUACGCGAGGAACCUUACCAGGGCUUAAAUGUAGAUUGCAUUAGCUAGAGAUAGCUAUUUCUUCGGACUAUCUACAAGGUGCUGCAUGGUUGUCGUCAGCUCGUGCCGUGAGGUGUCAGGUUAAGUCCUAUAACGAGCGCAACCCCUGUUGUUAGUUGCCAGCAUGUAAAGAUGGGAACUCUAACAAGACUGCCGGUGCAAACCGUGAGGAAGGUGGGGACGACGUCAAGUCAUCAUGGGCCCUUAUGGGGCAGGGGCUACACACGUGCUACAAUGGCGAGUACAGAGGGGCU
rnacentral:rRNA from 1 species